AACGAACGCUGGCGGCAUGCCUAACACAUGCAAGUCGAACGAGACCUUCGGGUCUAGUGGCGCACGGGUGCGUAACGCGUGGGAACCUGCCCUUAGGUUCGGAAUAACUCCCCGAAAGGGGUGCUAAUACCGGAUAAUGUCUUCGGACCAAAGAUUUAUCGCCUUUGGAUGGGCCCGCGUUGGAUUAGCUAGUUGGUAGGGUAAAAGCCUACCAAGGCGACGAUCCAUAGCUGGUCUGAGAGGAUGAUCAGCCACACUGGGACUGGGACACGGCCCAGACUCCUACGGGAGGCAGCAGUAGGGAAUAUUGGACAAUGGGCGAAAGCCUGAUCCAGCACUGCCGCGUGAGUGAUGAAGGCCUUAUGGUUGUAAAGCUCUUUUACCCGGGAUGAUAAUGACAGUACCGGGAGAAUAAGCUCCGGCUAACUCCGUG
rnacentral:rRNA from 1 species